rnacentral:rRNA from 1 species
AACGAACGCUGGCGGCAGGCCUAACACAUGCAAGUCGAACGCCCCGCAAGGGAGGUGGCAGACGGGUGAGUAACGCGUGGGAACGUGCCCUUCGGUUCGGAAUAACUCAGGGAAACGUUGAGCUAAUACCGGAUACGUCCGUAAGGAGAAAGAUUUAUCGCCGAAGGAUCGGCCCGCGUCGGAUUAGCUAGUUGGUGAGGUAACGGCCCACCAAGGCGACGAUCCGUAGCUGGUCUGAGAGGAUGANCCAGCCACACUGGGACUNAGACACGGCCCAGACUCCUACGGGAGGGCAGCAGUGGGGAAUAUUGGACAAUGGGCGAAAGCCUGAUCCAGCCAUGCCGCGUGAGUGAAGAAGGCCUUAGGGUUGUAAAGCUCUUUC